rnacentral:rRNA from 1 species
CCUACGGGAGGCAGCAGUGGGGAAUAUUGGACAAUGGGGGGAACCCUGAUCCAGCCAUGCCGCGUGUGUGAAGAAGGCCUUUUGGUUGUAAAGCACUUUAAGCGAGGAGGAGGAGCUCUUAGUUAAUACCUAAGAUGCGUGGACGUUACUCGCAGAAUAAGCACCGGCUAACUCUGUGCCAGCAGCCGCGGUAAUACAGAGGGUGCGAGCGUUAAUCGGAUUUACUGGGCGUAAAGCGCGCGUAGGUGGCUAAUUAAGUCAAAUGUGAAAUCCCCGAGCUUAACUUGGGAAUUGCAUUCGAUACUGGUUGGCUAGAGUAUGGGAGAGGAUGGUAGAAUUCCAGGUGUAGCGGUGAAAUGCGUAGAGAUCUGGAGGAAUACCGAUGGCGAAGGCAGCCAUCUGGCCUAAUACUGACACUGAGGUGCGAAAGCAUGGGGA